AGGAAGAUGCUUUGUUAUGCUUAUGGUUAUGGUGAAUUCCUGUUCUCUGAUUUAGGAUUUUGGUUUUCUGCCUUUUGUUGGAUGUUAGGGUUAGUGAUGUAAAUCAAACGACUUAUUCAGUCAAAUAUAUGUAAAACCUCUGGUUUAUUAGCAUCUUAUUAAUGAAAUCUGUAGUUUGUUUUGUUUCAAUCAAAGGUGCUUCUCAUACAAUUGGUAUGAAUUUUGCAAAUAAUUUAAAAUUGGAGAACUAUUUGUUUUUGUCUUAAGUUUCAAUACUUGACAUCUAGAUUGCUAGUUCUUGCCUUGAAUAUUGUUAUUUAGGGUAGCUAUAAAAUCAUUUAGAUCCCAAAAGUACUAUGAGAAAGAAUUACUAGGAUUUGUAAUGCCAAAGGACAUUCAACUCGCUAGGAGGAUUCGUGGAGACAGGGCUUAGGAAGAUGCUUUGUUGUGCUUAUGGUUAUGGUGAAUUCGUGUUCUCCGAUUUAGGGUUUUGGUUUUCUGCCUUUUGUUGGAUGUUAGGGUUAGUGAUGUAGAUCAAAUGACUUAUUCAAUCAAACUAUAUGUAAAACCUCUGGUUUAUUAGCAUCUUAUUAAUGAAAUCUGUAGUUCGUUUUGUUUCAAUCAAAGUUGCUUCUCAUACGAAUUGGUGUGAAUUUUGCAAAAAAUUUAAAAUUGAAGAACUAUUUGUUUUUGGGCGGGUAACUACUUGUCAUAGUGAUACUUCAGAGGCAGGUC
rnacentral:lncRNA from 1 species